AUUUAUGGGCGCGCUUACACGCGGCUGCAUACAGAUCGCCACUUACGCGUGUAUCGGGCCGGAUGAGGGAGACGAGCGUAAACCGGCCUCCCCUGACUUCGAUAAAACGCCAGGACCCUCGACUCGUGUGCGUAUGUGACGAGGGGUUACUGCAAUGGACAGGGUUGAGCGCUCAGGACCGUUCAAUACGAGGGAAAAAAAGUGAAUUAGUUUCUUCGAUAAGCGACGUCCACAGAAUGAUAUAUUAACGGAGCUUCUCGUCCAGGGAAGGAAAUGGCGGACGAGGACAUCCCGUACGCAGGAGCGGACACGCAGGAUCCGCUACGUGAAAGGAAAAUCGCGAUCGAUCCCGAGGAUCGACAUGCUCGCAGUCUCCGGUGAAAUACC